CGUUUUCACCUGGUUAAUGUCGAAGAUUAAAUUUAAAUUGUUGUUAUUUCUCAAGAAGGAAGUUGGGUUACUGUAGAAACAUACGUUGAAGUACUUUUUUUGAUACAUAGCUACGAAACAGAGACUGUAUCAAAGUUUUCAUGCUAUAGUGCUGCUAAAAACUAUGGAAAUAUGGAUUGCUGAGGAUACUAAAUUUAGAAGAGUGCAAUUCUCAAACCAUAUUAAAGAUGCUUUGUCAAGAGAUAAAGUAGAAAGGGAAAGAGUGUUUCCAGUUUGCUUUCCUUCAAAAAGUUCUCAUACUAGUCAUUUUACUAGAGAUUUUUAGGCGUACAUUUGUGUUGACGUUUUUUUUGCGAUGACGUAACCUUUAUGCGUUACGUCCCAAACUAUUUAUUAACGA